rnacentral:rRNA from 1 species
CCGGUAAACGGCGGCCGUAACUAUAACGGUCCUAAGGUAGCGAAAUUCCUUGUCAGGUAAGUUCUGACCCGCACGAAAGGUGUAACGAUCUGGGCACUGUCUCAACAACCCGCCCGGCGAAAUUGUAGUACCGGUGAAGAUGCCGGUUACCCGCGACUAGACGGAAAGACCCCAUGGAGCUUUACUGUAGCCUAAUAUUGGAUUUCGGUAUUUCACGUACAGGAUAGGUGGGAGACUGGGAAGCACAGGCGUCAGCUUGUGUGGAGUCGACCUUGGGAUACCACUCUUGGAGUGCUGGAAUUCUAACCUGCGGCUUUGAAGCAAGUCGGGGGACAUUGUUAGGUGGGCAGUUUGACUGGGGCGGUCGCCUCCUAAAGAGUAACGGAGGCGCUCAAAGGUUCGCUCUGCAUGGAUGGAAACCAUGCGUCAGAGUGUAAACGCAAAAGCGAGCCUAACUGCGAGAAUGACGGUUCGAGCAGUAACGAAAGUUGGAGUUAGUGAUCCGGCGGUAUGUGAAUGGAAAUGCCGUCGCUCAACGGAUAAAAGCUACCCUGGGGAUAACAGGCUGAUCUCCCCCAAGAGUCCACAUCGACGGGGAGGUUUGGCACCUCGAUGUCGGCUCAUCGCAUCCUGGGGCUGAAUUCGGUCCCAAGGGUUUGGCUGUUCGCCAAUUAAAGCGGUACGCGAGCUGGGUUCAGAACGUCGUGAGACAGUUCGGUCCCUAUCUGUCGUGGGCGUAGGAUAUUUGCAAGGAGCUGUCCCUAGUACGAGAGGACCGGGAUGGACGCACCUCUGGUGCACCAGUUGUCACGCCAGUGGCACAGCUGGGCAGCUAUGUGCGGAACGGAUAAACGCUGAAGGCAUCUAAGCGUGAAGCCGCCCUUAAGAUAAGAUAUCCCUUCUGUUUACAGAGUAAGACCCCUUGAAGACUACAAGGUUGAUAGGCUCAAAGUGUAAGCACGGUGACGUGUUUAGCUAGCGAGUACUAAUCGGUCGAGGGCUUAACCUU